AAAUGAAUUGACGGGGACCCGCACAAGCGGUGGAGCGUGUUCUUUAAUUCGAUGAUAAACGAAGAACCUUACCAGGGCUUGACAUCCCUAUAACCGAUUUCCGAAAGGAAAUUUUCAUUUAGUUGGAUAGGUGACAGGUGAUGCAUGGCCGUCGUCAGCUCGUGUCGUGAGAUGUUUGGUUAAGUCCAUCAACGAGCGCAACCCUUGUCGUCUGUUGUAUUUUUCAGGCGAAACUGCCCCUGUAAGGGGGAGGAAGGGGGGGAUGAUGUCAGGUCAGUAUUUCCCUUACGUCCUGGGCUAGAAACGCGCUACAAUGGCCGGUACAACGGGCAGCGAAGCAGCAAUGCGGAGCAAAUCCCACCAAAACCGGUCCCAGUUCGGAUAAGAGGCUGAAACUCGCCUCUUUGAAGUCGGAAUCGCUAGUAAUCGCAGAUCAGCACGCUGCGGUGAAUACGUUCCCGGGUCUUGCACACACCGCCCGU
rnacentral:rRNA from 1 species